AAAAAACCAUCAAUACAACCUCUGCUGGGAAGACAGCUUCAGACUUGGAAAACAAUCACAACUCCGCUGGGGAUACGGCAACCUUCAGGCUUGCUGAGGAGACACUGAUCUCGAAUCUGUCGGGGAGAUCACACUCUUAAUCCUCUGGGGAGAUACAGCUUGUUUGACAGGGAUGUCGGUCGACUCGUCGAACACUGGCAUCC
rnacentral:lncRNA from 1 species